GUCAGAAACUCCUCACACACAUUUUUCUGAUAAUGCGAAGUACUCAAGCGAUCGUUUGAGUACUUUUUAUUUAACCUUG
rnacentral:sRNA from 1 species